GUCUGGAAUGCCCCAUUGUAGUACUGUGGUACCCGUUACUAGCGUGGCUGCCACCCACUGCACUGCGUUCUACAAAACACAGGGCAGUGAUAUUCUGCAAGGAAACCUUUACCCUCACCCUCUACUCCCCUAACCUUUGACAUCUUCACCUUUAUUUACUGUGUCCCAAAGGAAAAGCACGCGCAUGGAGAGAACUCACGUGAACACCAACCCUCUCUCAUUCUUUAGGGAAAAGAGGCAGCAUCAGAGAAAAGCCGAAUGAAGGCAGUGCCUUCCAUCCUGAACAGGUCCAGAGAAGUGCAGUGACGAGCCAACAUAAUACAGCAGUGACUGUGUAGCCAGCCCAGCCUUGGGUCUCCUGCCCUCAGCUGAUCUCUGCUGUGACUGCAAAUCACGGAGGAGGAGCAAGGUCACACAGCCUGGGCAAGGCUGACGGGAGGAAAUUUGCUCAUGGCCGCCUCCCAGAUGGACCCUCUGAGCUGCAGUGACUUGAGAGACCCAUUCGAGUGGUUUUUCAGAUGAAUUUGUUCAUGCAAACACGUUGCAAUGUUUCCCUUCCACAAUCCUGUCACAGGUGAGUAAACUAAGGCGCAUAAAUGGAGGGACAUGAGUGGCAGAAACCCCCGCUGGUCCUUCCUUCCAACCUGGGACGUUUGCAGGCCUUUCCCAAAUCUAGGACGCUUGCACAACUCCCAGCCUGGGUGUUUCCAGCUCCACCCAGACCGUCAAGCCCAGGUGUCUGGUUUGGCUGGGAAACAGCACCCUGUCGAUAACUAGUAAGUACUUUCACAGCUUGUUAGGGGCAAGUACCUUUCAGUCCAGAAAACUAGGAGUUCAGGAGACCGAAACCCACGACUCAGAGUUCUAAGGAUUUGCAGGUAUUUUGAGACAUAAUACGUUUGGGAUUUAGUUUUCACUCUGCUAACGAAUGAAACACGCUGCUGUGGCUCCUUCUCUGCCUCCCUUGAGGUUUGAUCUCACUCGAGUAUACCCAGAGAUGUGUUAAUUAUGUAAUUACUCAACUAAUAUUAAUUAUAAUGACACGCUCUACAGCAUAACACGUUACAUAAUAUCAUGCAAUAUCAUAUAACCACAAUAUAUAAUUAUAAAUAUGUUAAUAAAUAUGUAAAUAAGCACAGCUGUCAUUAAUGACCCUUUUAUUUCUGAAGAAUCAUCUCUAAAAUGCAGAGGGAACCAGAUACGUUCAGCUGCCUCUCACUGUAGGUCAAAGCUCCAUUCUGAGCUCUUGUGGGGUAUCUUCAUCGGAUAAUUUUCUGAAAGGCGAGAAAAACAGGGAAGACGAAAACCCGGGAAGAAGACAUGAAGCUGAAAGGGUGCUGUGGGAGACAGUGUCAGGGAGGCCCCACAUCGGGAGGCAGAUGAUUAAGUGUUCACCGCAGUGAACAUUAAGAAAAUAUCCAGCACUGGGUGCAAAGCAGGGUUCCUGGUGCUGUAGAUACGUGCUGGGGUGGGGAGUCGCCAGGCUGAAUGAGACCCUGUAAGACGGUAUUGGCUGAGGGGCAAAGCCAGGAGGAAACCAUGCACCCACCACUGCCCUCUCCUAAUCACUGAGCUGGAACUGCCCCCGGGAGGCUGCUUCCAAGUUCUGGGCCACCAGUGUGAUGAUGUGAAGGACUCUUGGGGAUAUAUGGUAAAAAGUUUUUAGUGUUGGGAAAAAGGCCAUAAGGAAACCGCCCUUCCUCACCUCCACCCCCUCCCUGCCCAUUUCUACUCUGUGAUAGAAAAUAAUCCUUUUCCUUUUGGACACAGACAGUCUUAAAUAUGGCGACUUUCAAACAAAUGUGGAGCAGGAAGAGAAAAGGUAAAAAGAACCACGUACAUUACAAAGGAGGCCACUUGCUUCUAAGGGAUGUGCUGUCCCAGGACAAGGGAGGAGGUAACUGGCUGUCAGGGAGCAGGGAGUCGGGAGUUUCUCGAGGUGGGAGGUUAGGACCAGCCCAGGCUGGAGGCCGACCUGAGGAGGACACUUCAAGACGCUGAGGAGGGAACAUCCAGUAGAAUGGACGACGGACCGCAGCCCUGGAAACCCAGGGGCUCUGGGGCAUCCUGUGUCUGCUUCUAACUUGCCCUUUAGUGCGGGAAUAGUGACUUCUCCCUGGCCUCUUCUUCCUUGGUGAAAUGUAAAACUUUAUUCUUUGGACUGGGCUUCCUGCUCUAAAUUCUGAGAUCUUUUUUAGACCCUAGCAAGAAAGGAUAUCAGUGUCCUGGCUUAGGAAAGAGGAGAGACACUGCAAAACUCUGGCUCAGAAACACAUUUGGGAAACCAAGAGAGAGCUCAUUUGGAAGCAGGAGAAAUCGGUUCUGGCUCCACCGUGGCUCUGCACUUGGUCUGGACUCGAGCCUAUCAACUCACCCCUUUGAGUCUCUGUUACUCAUCUGAAAAAUUAGAGUAUUGAUCUCUAAACAUUUUAUGGCUAUUUUCAACAAUUUUUUAAAGCAAGAUAAAUUUUUUUUUUUUUUUUUUUUUUUACUAAUUAUCCAUAUAUGACAGAAAAAAUAGAACUUCCCUGGUUGAAGUGAUGGAGAAGGUUCUGGAAUCCUCUCCACUGAUAGCGCUGCCCCAACCCAAAGACAACAGCCUAGGUACCUCCAAGCAGUUUGGAAACACAGACCGAACCUGCACGUAACCCUGUGACUUUGGGGAGUCCUUUCAUUUUUCUUGGGUCUCCGUUCCUCCAUCACACACGGGCAUAAGAAUUCCUGUUCUAAUGAGUGCCUGGUGACUAGGGUGAAAAGGACACACGGUAAGUGAAAGGUAACUUGACACAGACUCUCAAGUGCUGUAUCAAUGUACACAGUCAAUGCAGGCCUGUUUUCAACCCUUUCAUCAAUCCUGCGGGUCUAGACGCCAAGUCCUCUCAAGAGCAGUCCCAGAGUACGUGGCGAUGGAAUGAAAAGUUGAAAAAUACAAGCAGCACAGCGCUUCUUUGUCCCUUCUGUUCCACCCACAGCAUGGGAUAAGGCAGACAGCCCCAGAAACCGGAGGCAGCGCCUGCCAGGUCAGGAUAUGAGGCCUGGCAUCAUAUCCAGCCAUGAUUAGAGCUACACCAAGAUGGAAGGCAGGGCCCUGCUGCCCGCACACUUACCCGUGCAGGGGUCAAUGAACAGUGCAGAUCAAAGAGACCCUCCUGCAGGAGGAAAAGGCUUAUCUGGGCUGGGACAAGUGAGUAAACCUUCUAAAAAGAGGCUGGAUACAGGCCCGUCAUGGUGGCUCACACCUGUAAUCUCAGCACUUUGGGAGGCCAAGGCUGGUGGAUCACCUGAGGUUAGGACUUUGAGACCAGCCUGGCCAACAGGGUGAAACCCCAUCUCUACUAAAAUACAAAAAUUGGGCCAGGCACAGUGACCCAAGCCUGUAAUCCCAGCACUUUGGGAGGCUGAGGUGGACGAAUCACAAGGUCAAGAGAUCGAGACCAUCCUGGCCAACAUGGUAAAACCCCAUCUCUACAAAAAUUCAAAAAUUAGCUGGGCGUGGUGGCAUACACCUGUAGUCCCAGCUCCUCGGGAGGCUGCGGCAGGAGCAUUGCUUGAACCCAGGAGGCAAAGUCCGCAGUGAGCUGAGAUCAUGCCACUGCAUCCAACCUGGUAACAGAGUGAGACUCAGUCUCAAAAAAUAUAUAUAAACAAAAAUUAGCUGGGUGUGGUGGCACUUGCCUGUAGUCCCAGCUACUUGGCUGAGGCAAGCGAAUUGCUUGAACCCAGGAGUUGGAGGUUGCAGUGAGCUGAGAUUGCCCCACUGCACUCCAGCCUGGGCGACAAAAGCGAAACUCUGUCUCAAAAAUAAAAGUGAGGGGGUAGCUGUGCCUCACUGUAAAAUAUUUCCAAGUUCCUUUGAUGAGCACUUUUGUUGGAGAUUCCUCUGCCCCCUGACCCAUAUACCCUGGAAACAGUGUCCAACAGAAGAGUUGAGAUCCCCCCAGGGUCUGCCUCCUUACUUUCCUGCCCAGGCCCUAGCAUUUGCCUUCCUGGUCUGUACCCACUCUGUUCCUUGUGCCACCCCUCAUUCAUCAUGUGUACUGGUAAUGACUGAACUCACGCUCCUAAGACUCCCAGGAUGGGAGGAGGUGGGUUUUGCUUACCCUGCUCUUCGCUGCCCUCACUCUUUUACUCCUCUUGCUUCAAACAGGCUCCUGCUGGCUUUAAUUAAGCCUGUGGAGCCUCCCUCAGGGCUGGCCCUCAUGAAAUGAGGUGACCCAGCUCACCAGGGCUGCUCCCCAGAGGCCCCUCAGCCCCUCAGGCUUAUCACAACAAUUUCUGCUCCACAUUUUCCACUGAACAGUGCAACCUGAACAGGAAAACAUGGUCUGCAAGUGCAGGAGCCAGCCAGGGUCUCAAACAAGAAGGCUCCAGAUGCUCUCGUUGCCCAAAGGGCUCAGCUGUUGGAUACAUUGCCAGUGAGGAACUUAGCUUUUCAAUACCAAGGAAAAUGGCCCCUGGGCAGAAUCAUAAAAAGCCAAGUACCACAGUCAGCAGAGCUUUGGGCCGCUGCUUUUUCAUGGGUCUUUAGGAACGAAUCCUUGGUGUCCAGCUCUACGGGAGUCCCCAUCACCUACUCAGUGAAGCCUCUACUUGGAAAUCAGGAAUUUAAGACCCUCCACAAUCUUCCUCCCUCUUCUCUUCCAGGGUUUUAACCUAGAAUUCUUGUACAGAUCCUCAGGUCUUGCAAAAAGAAGUCGCUGGGGAGUGCGGUUUAGUGGUUCUGUCAGUCAGAACAGGAUACAUCAUGCCGCAGUAACAAAUAGCCCCACAAUCUAAGUGACUUCACAGGCAAAAGUUUAUGUUCCACACAUCCUGUUUGUCCCAUAUGGAUGGUGAGGCCACUGUUUCUCACAGUCAGGAACUCCGGCUGACAGAAGCUCCGCCCUUUUGUGACGGGACCAUGUGGAAUACCCACAGUCUCCUUAGUCAUCAUAGCAGGCGAGAGACUGGGGGACUGGGCAUAUGAAUGCCACUGCCUCUGCCAUGGUAUUUAAGGGUACAAACACUGGAGUCAGACACAGUUUCACCACUCACUAGUUGUGGACCUUGGUCAACUUAACCUGAUUAUCUUUUCAUUUUAAAAUUAAGGUAUAAUAUACAUACCCUAACCCUCUACAGUGCACAGUUUUGUGAGUUUUGACAAACACAUACACUGCUAUAACUACCACCGCAAAUCAGACACAGAAAUGUUCUUCCCCUCAAUGAUCCUCACGCCCUAUCAUAGUGGACUUCUCCCCACUCUUCAGUUCCUGGCAACCGCUGAUUUGUUUUCUGUCCUUAAACCACUGAUCUAUUUCCAUAAACAGAAUCAUAUAAUCUGUAUCACUGAUGUCUGGCUCAGCAUCACACACCCGAGAGCCAUCCAUUUCGUUGUGUUGCUAAUGUAUUCCUAUGCAUUGCAUUCCUUUGCAUGGAUGUACCACAAUUUGCUUACUCAUUCAUUACUCGAAGGAAAUCCGGUUUUAGUUUUUGCCAAUUAAUUAUAAAACUGCUAUAAACAUUUGUGUACAAGCUAUUGUCUGAACAUUAUCAUUUCACUUGGGUAAGUAUCUUGAAGAUUUCUGGAUAGCAUAUGUAUACGUUUAACAUUUUAAGAAACUGCCAAACUCUCUUCCAAAGUGGCUGGACCAUUUUACGUUUCUAUGAGAAACGUAUGAGAAUUUCAGUUACUCAGCAUCUUUGCCAAAAGUAGUUAUUUAGGGUUUGCCAUUGUUGUUAGCCUCUCUAAUGGUGGGUAAUUGUAUCACAUUGUGGUUUUAACCUCUACUGUUUUUUUAAGUUUCUGUAGCAUCUUCUAAAUUACCAUACCUUCUGAAAAUACAGUUUUCUGUUUAACUUCUUAUCCUACUCCAUUUCCCAAAUGAUUUAUAAUGUUGAGCAUCUUUUUAUGUACUUAUUGCCACCUGUAUGUCAGGUAAGUAAAAUAUUUGUCAAAUCUUUCCCCAAUUUUUUUAUUGUUUUCUAAAUUAUUAACUUUUGAGAGUUCUUUGUGUGGAUUUAAGUCCUUUAAUCAGAUACAUGACUUGCAGUAUUCUCUCCCAAUUCAUGACUUGACACAAUCUUCUGACAAUAUCUUUCAAAAAGCAAAAUUUUUAAAAUUUUGAUUAAGUCCAAUUUAUCAGUUUUUUUCUCUUAACUGGAUCAUGCUUCUUGGUGUUAUAUCUAGAAAAUUCAAAUUAGCAAAGCUUUUCUCCCAGUUUUUCUUCUUAAACUUUUAUGGUUUUAGCUGUUACUCUGUCCAUUGUCAAUUUUGAGUUAAUUUUCAUGUCACAAGAUAUGAACGUAACUUCAGUUAUUUCAUAUGGUUAUCGGUUUGUACAGUACCAUUUAUGUGAAACAUUCACUUCCCUUUUCCCCUUUAAAAAAUCAAUUUAUGUAAAUGUAUGGGUCUAUUUUAUGAUAUUGGUCUAUAUGUCUGUUCUUCUGUAAGUAACAUACUGUUUUGAUUAUUGCAGCUUUAUGAAAUAUCUUGAAAUCAGCUUAACGUGAGUAUUCAACUUUAUUUCUCUUUAAAAAACUGUUUCAGCUAUUCUAGUUCCUUUGCCUUUCCAUAAAAAAUGAAUAAACUUGUUUAUUUCCACACACACACAAAUUCACUGAUACAGAUUUUGAUGAAAAUGACAUUAAGCUUAUAGAUCUAUCUGGAGUCAAUGAAUAUCUUAACAAUAGUGAGUUUUCUAAUCCAUGGACAUGGUUUAUCUCUCCAUUUAUCUAGGUAUUCUUUGAUUUCUUGUAUCAGCGUUUUGUAGUUUUUAGUGUGCUUCAUAGCUUUUUGUGUGCUUGUGUAUACAGAUAUUACACACAUUUUGUAAGAUUUACAUUUAUAUACUGUAUGUAUUUUAGUGAUAUUACACACUCAGUUAUUAGUCUACUGGUUUUUAACAGUUUCUGUAGCAUCUUCUCCAUUACCUUCUGAGAACAGUUUUCUGUUUAACUUCUUAUCCUAUUGCAUCUCAUUGCAUCUCUGGUAGAAUUUGAAUGACAGUGUUCAAAGCAGACAUAUCUACCCUGUUUUUAAUCUUAGGGGAAAAGUAUUCAGUCUUUCUCCCUUAAGUAACAUGUUAGCUGUUGGUUUUCCAUAGAUGGGUUUUAUGAGGAGGAGGACAUCACCUUCCAUUCUAGUUUAACGGUAGUUUUUAUCAUAAAUUGA